rnacentral:rRNA from 1 species
UCGGGAAUUUUGGGCAAUGGGCGAAAGCCUGACCCAGCAACGCCGCGUGAGGGAUGAAGUAUUUCGGUAUGUAAACCUCGAAAGAAUGGGAAGAAUAAAUGACGGUACCAUUUAUAAGCUCCGGCUAACUACGUGCCAGCAGCCGCGGUAAUACGUAGGGAGCAAGCGUUGUUCGGAUUUACUGGGCGUAAAGGGCGCGUAGGCGGCGCGGUAAGUCACUUGUGAAAUUUCUGAGCUUAACUCAGAACGGCCAAGUGAUACUGCUGUGCUAGAGUGCGGAAGAGGCAACCGGAAUUCGUGGUGUAGCGGUGAAAUGCGUAGAUAUCAAGAGGAACACCUGAGGCGAAGGCGGGUUGCUGGGCCGACACUGACGCUGAUGCGCGAAAGCCAGGGGAGCAAAC